UAACCCUUUGUUGUCCGACUCUGUUGCCUCCGGGGCGACCCUGCCUUCGGGCGGGGGCUCCGGGUGGACACUUCAAACUCUUGCGUAACUUUGCAGUCUGAGUAAACUUAAUUAAUAAAUUAAAACUUUUAACAACGGAUCUCUUGGUUCUGGCAUCGAUGAAGAACGCAGCGAAAUGCGAUAAGUAAUGUGAAUUGCAGAAUUCAGUGAAUCAUCGAAUCUUUGAACGCACAUUGCGCCCCCUGGUAUUCCGGGGGGCAUGCCUGUUCGAGCGUCAUUUCACCACUCAAGCCUCGCUUGGUAUUGGGCAACGCGGUCCGCCGCGUGCCUCAAAUCGACCGGCUGGGUCUUCUGUCCCCUAAGCGUUGUGGAAACUAUUCGCUAAAGGGUGCUCGGGAGGCUACGCCGUAAAACAAACCCAUUUCUAAGGUUGACCUCGGAUCAGGUAGGGAUACCCGCUGAACUUAAGCAUAUCAA
rnacentral:rRNA from 1 species